GACUCAACCGUGAUCCUGUUAACUAGCCAGAUCUCCGACAUUGAAGCCAACAGAUAUCCAAUUGAUAUCCUCUGUGAAUUAGAUAAACACAUUUUCAAUAUGCAUGUUAGCUUAAAAAGCCUAACUUAUUCUCAAUCUGAAAGUUAGCUUA